GGUGGGGUGGCGGAGUGGUUGAACGCGCCGGUCUUGAAAACCGGUAGGCCCCUCCAGGGCCUCGCGGGUUCGAAUCCCGCCCCCACCG
rnacentral:tRNA from 1 species